UCAGAUCAUAGUCCCUGCACCUUUAUCAGGUGGGGAAGUCAUGACUUCUCACCUUUAGUUGGAAUGAUGGAAGAAGAAAAGAAUCCAUUCCCAAGAGGAUGCAGCUGCCUCUCUGAAGGAAAGAUCUUGGAGGAUUUAGAAUAAAGUGUUAACAAACUAAAUGUCUCAGACUGAGGAACUUAAGACAGAAAAGUUCACUUGCUGAUAAAUCCUGUGGGCUGUCAAGAUCCUGUAAGUGUGGAAUAAGAAGAUCAGCACACAAACCUCUGUUCCUGUUUGCCGCUUUGAGAGUUCAGGGGAACUGUGUUGCAGAUGUCAUUCUGGUCUCAACAUUUCUAUCCCUCCCUAUAAAGCCCCUGUAAAGGAUGCAAAUCUGUACAGUCUCUACUCCAACAGAAGCUGUUGCCCUGAAUUUUUCUGAUUAAAGAAAAUCUUGAUACCAUUGA
rnacentral:lncRNA from 1 species